UCAAAGUAUGUAUCGGAGGUUACGAAACCGCUUGGAUAAUUUGCAGAAGAGGUACAGAAGCUUAUCGGAAAGACGUCCGUCAACUUGGAAAGCUUCAACAACUAACUUUGCGAAGCUGUGAAUACGACAAGGUCAUAAGUGCACAGAUACGAGAGGUGAUUGACAUGUGCUACUGGGAUGCGACCAAUUGGAAGCUCAGAGUCUCGGAAAUACGACAACAGCUAGAGCAGGCGUGGAUCUCAACCAACGAUUGGGAUACCCGUGUGUAGAGUGAGCCAGCACAGCAAGUCAGCCUCCAAGAUACGUCACAGAUAGAGCAUGCGCAAAGCGCUUUUAAAACACACUUGUAGUAUAGUACACAUAUUGUAUUGGUAACUAUUAAUCAAACGGAAAAAAGAAAUUGGCCUAGAUACAAAUACCUGAUGCGAAUUGGUAUCAGCGGAAGACUUAACGCACUUGAAUCACAUGCAUAUAUCAUUUAUUGCUGUAAGAUUUCGUAUAGCAUUAUUCACUGUUAAUUAGGCGUUAAUCAGAUCCAGACUAGAAUACGCAUCUGUAGCAUUUGCUAGCCUGCCUAAGUACAUCAACUAAAUGUCCAAAAAGGGCACUUGGGAUAGUGUGGUCGCAUAUUUCUUUCAAAGAUGCAUUAGAAUACUUAGGGUUAUCCUAACUGGGAGUAAGGCGCAAAAACAAGUGCAGCAAAUUUAUUGAAUAAAAAGAUUUUUGGCACCCAAUCUUUUCCUUGAUUUAAUCGUGUUGUGAAGAAUUGUUGAUGUCAUUAAGACCCGGUACAUCUACUUCUAAGUUGCCAACUAGCACGAAUAGGUUCUCUGACUUUGUAACGGUCAAGUUUAAGCGUUAUCGGUAGUUUAUUACGAAUAUAUAUUACAAUUGUAGUUUGUCUUGUAUUUCUUAGUGUCAUUGUACGUGUCUAGCCUACAAUUCAAGCUUUAAGAUUGCUAAGGGCUGAGAUACACCAUAUAUCUAUCUAUCUAUCUAUUUAUCUAUCUAUCCAUCUAUAUAUCCAUCUAUACUCAAUAAAAAGACGUCAAAAAUA